AUGACUACCGCGCUUUUUAUUGACCAUUUUGCACGCAAACUGGAAAACCUGGCGUCGUCAUCUAUUCUUAAAGGGCAAGGCAACUAA
rnacentral:antisense_RNA from 1 species